AUACGGAGGAUCCGAGCGUUAUCCGGAUUUAUUGGGUUUAAAGGGUGCGCAGGCGGCCAUUUAAGUCAGCGGUUAAAUCGUGGGGCUCAACCCCAUUCUGCCGUUGAUACUGGGUGGCUUGAUUGCGGUCGAGGUUGGCGGAAUUCGUUGUGUAGCGGUGAAAUGCAUAGAUAUGACGAAGAACACCGAUUGCGUAGGCAGCUGACCAGACCGCAAAUGACGCUCAUGCACGAAAGUGCGGGGAUCGAACAGGAUUAGAUACCCUGGUAGUCCGCACAGUAAACGAUGAAUACUUGUUUUCGGCGAUAUAAUGUCGGAGGCAAAGCGAGAGCGAUAAGUAUUCCACCUGGGGAGUACGCCGGCAACGGUGAAACUCAAAUGAAUUGACGGGG
rnacentral:rRNA from 1 species